AGCAGCCGCGGUAAUUCCAGCUCCAAUAGCGUAUAUUAAAGUUGUUGCAGUUAAAAAGCUCGUAGUUGAAUUUCGGGAUCAAUAUGUUGGUCGUGCCUUGGUACGUACUGGCAUUAUUGGUUUCUACCUUCUGAAGAACCUCGAUGUCAUUAAUUUGGUGUCUUGGGGAAUCAGGACUGUUACUUUGAAAAAUUAGAGUGUUUAAAGCAGGCUCGCGCUUGAAUACAUUAGCAUGGAAUAAUGAAAUGGGACGUUUGAUUCUAUUUUGUUGGUUUCUAGGAUUGACGUAAUGAUUAAUAGGGAUAGUUGGGGGCAUUAGUAUUCAAUUGUCAGAGGUGAAAUUCUUGGAUUUAUUGAAGACUAACUACUGCGAAAGCAUUUGCCAAGGAUGUCUUCAUUAAUCAAGAACGAAAGUUAGGGGAUCGAAGACGAUCAGAUACCGUCGUAGUCUUAACCAUAAACUAUGCCGACUAGGGAUCGGAUGAUGUUAAUUUUUUAAUGUACUCUA
rnacentral:rRNA from 1 species